rnacentral:rRNA from 1 species
AUUGAACGCUGGCGGCAUGCCUUACACAUGCAAGUCGAACGGCAGCACGGGAGCAAUCCUGGUGGCGAGUGGCGAACGGGUGAGUAAUAUAUCGGAACGUGCCCAGUAGUGGGGGAUAACUGCUCGAAAGAGCAGCUAAUACCGCAUACGACCUGAGGGUGUAAGGGGGGGAUCGCAAGACCUCUCGCUAUUGGAGCGGCCGAUAUCAGAUUAGCUAGUUGGUGGGGUAAAGGCCUACCAGGGCAACGAUCUGUAGUUGGUCUGAGAGGACGACCAGCCACACUGGGACUGAGACACGGCCCAGACUCCUACGGGAGGUAGCAGUGGGGAAUUUUGGACAAUGGGCGCAAGCCUGAUCCAGCAAUGCCGCGUGCAGGAAGAAGGCCUUCGGGUUGUAAACUGCUUUUGUCAGGGAAGAAAUCCUCUAGGUUAAUACCCUUGGGGGGAUGACGGUACCUGAAGAAUAAGCACCGGCUAACUACGUGCCAGCCGCCGCCGUAACAC